rnacentral:pre_miRNA from 14 species
GGUUGACAGACAGACUUCUCUUUUGAGGCAACAUGCUUCUUUAUAUCCCCAUAGGGAUAACAGUGCUAUGGAAUGUAAGGAAGUGUGUGGUUUCGGGGAGAUGAACUCUUAUGCACCGUU